rnacentral:misc_RNA from 1 species
GAUGAAGAACGCAGCGAAAUGCGAUAAGUAAUGUGAAUUGCAGAAUUCAGUGAAUCAUCGAAUCUUUGAACGCACAUUGCGCCCUCUGGUAUUCCGGAGGGCAUGCCUGUUCGAGCGUCAUUUCAACCCUCAAGCAUUGCUUGGUGUUGGGGCACCGCCUGUAAAAGGGCGGGCCCUGAAAUCUAGUGGCGAGCUCGCCAGGACCCCGAGCGUAGUAAUUAUAUUUCGUUCUGGAAGGCCCUGGCGGUGCCCUGCCGUUAAACCCCCAACUUCUGAAAAUUUGACCUCGGAUCAGGUAGGAAUACCCGCUGAACUUAAGCAUAACAAUAAGCGGAGGA